rnacentral:lncRNA from 1 species
CUCGGGGAUCUUUGUGAGUUGGUUAGUCGCUAAGUUCAGUUCUACCAUACUAGUCCAAGUGCCAAAGUCCAAGGGGAGAGAGGUCAGCUGAUUGUCCUUCAUGUUCAGCUUACUUAAUACUUUAGCUCUAGAGAAAAUUCCAAAGGGGAUUUUAUUGAUGCGGUUGUGCUCCAUGUUGAGAGAGUAGAUUGUGGAGAACUGGGACGG